GUGUCAGCCGCCGCGGUAAUACGUAGGGUGCAAGCGUUGUCCGGAAUUACUGGGCGUAAAGAGUUCGUAGGCGGUUUGUCGCGUCGUUUGUGAAAACCAGCAGCUCAACUGCUGGCUUGCAGGCGAUACGGGCAGACUUGAGUACUGCAGGGGAGACUGGAAUUCCUGGUGUAGCGGUGAAAUGCGCAGAUAUCAGGAGGAACACCGGUGGCGAAGGCGGGUCUCUGGGCAGUAACUGACGCUGAGGAACGAAAGCGUGGGUAGCGAACAGGAUUAGAAACCCUAGUAGUCC
rnacentral:rRNA from 1 species